rnacentral:rRNA from 1 species
UACCUCAGUAACGGCGAGUGAAGCGGUAACAGCUCAAAUUUGAAAGCUGCCAACAGGCCGCAUUGUAAUUUGUAGAAGAUGCUUUGGGUGUUGGCCUAGUCUAAGUUCCUUGGAACAGGACGUCAUAGAGGGUGAGAAUCCCGUAUGUGACUAGUGCCGCCCCCCGUGUAAAGCUCUUUCGACGAGUCGAGUUGUUUGGGAAUGCAGCUCAAAAUGGGUGGUAAAUUUCAUCUAAAGCUAAAUAUUGGCCAGAGACCGAUAGCGCACAAGUAGAGUGAUCGAAAGAUGAAAAGCACUUUGGAAAGAGAGUUAAACAGUACGUGAAAUUGUUGAAAGGGAAGCGCUUGCAAUCAGACUUGCAGGCGGUUGAUCAUCCGAGGUUCUCCCCGGUGCACUCGAUCGUCUUCAGGCCAGCAUCGGUUUCCGUGGUGGGAUAAAGGCUGUGAGAAUGUGGCUCUUCGGAGUGUUAUAGCUCACGGUGCAAUGCCGCCUACGGGGACCGAGGACCGCGCUUCGGCUAGGAUGCUGGCGUAAUGGUUGUAAGCGACCCGUCUUGAAACACGGACCAAGGAGUCUAACAUCUAUGCGAGUGUUUGGGUGUCAAACCCAUACGCGUAAUGAAAGUGAACGGAGGUAAGAACCCUUUAGGGUGCAUUAUCGACCGAUCCUGAUGUCUUCGGAUGGAUUUGAGUAAGAGCAUAGCUGUUGGGACCCGAAAGAUGGUGAACUAUGCGUGAAUAGGGUGAAGCCAGAGGAAACUCUGGUGGAGGCUCGCAGCGGUUCUGACGUGCAAAUCGAUCGUCAAAUUUGCGUAUAGGGGCGAAAGACUAAUCGAACCAUCCGUAUGGCAUAUGUUAGAUCAAACAAAGUGUUAGUUUAUCAGUGAGGAAGCCUUGUUCGCAAAGCAAAAUUCAAAGUUAGUAGUACUAGGUUUAAACUAGUCAUGGAAAGGAAGCGGAAGUCCUUUUAUAAAUCGUGCAUUAAAGUCACUCUUUUAUCCGAACUAUUGCUAUCUGCAGAAUUUUGCUGAACCUGGUGGAGCUGAGCCAAAAAAAAACUCUUUGUUGCUUCUUGCAUACAGUUGCUAGGUGGUUAAGAGAUGACUGAAAUCGUACAUCUAGUCCCUGCCAGGGGCAACACUCUCAAAUUGUUACGGGGACAUCCUGUUAUAAUUCUAAACUACCGCGGCUUCUUUGAAAGAAGAGGUUGCACCAGGUUAAUGACCUCGGGUAUGGUAAUAACGUUUAGAUAGGGAUAAUCCGCAGCCAAAUCCUAAGGGCCUAGUGCCUAUGGAUGCAGUUCACAGGCUAAAUGUGAGUGGGCUUUACUUCCGAGUAUCAGAGUAGAGUUUAAGUUAUAGUCGGACCGCCGGGAGACCGG